GCGUCAAACAAAAACCAAAAAAAUUUCUUUCUCUCCCCCUCACUCCCUAACUCACGCCCCUCCCCCUCUCUCAUCUCUCUCUCUUUUCUUCCAUGGAACUCCAUUGAUGAGACUUUCAAAGCUUCAUAUUUCAUCUCUACACAAAAAUCAUCCAUAGAAAUCAACCCUACACCUCUAUAUCCUUGAAUUUAAGAGUUAUUUGAAAGAUUUUCCAAGCUAGAGUUAAGAGUGAAGGAUUUUCUUUUUCUCUCUCUCUAAAUCUUUGAAAACGAGCGGAGGACGGAAGUAAGUCGCCUCGACUAUUUUACGAGCUUGAGCUAAAGCCUUCAGGAUAAGCGAGGAGGGAUGAUGGACUGGUGCUGGUGGGGACGUGUUUCGAAUAACAUUUUCUUUUACCGUAUUUCUAUUUUCUAUGGUAUUGCCAUAAUGUGGAGUCUUUUUGGUUUGAAUAAAGAAAUUUACUCUCGAUUAUAUGUCUUCAUACAUAUAAUUUGUUUACCUUUUGCUGCGAUACUCUGCAUAGUAUGAACCUUUGCUAAUAUUUAGCUAUGUCUGCUUUGUAAAUGUUGACGAGAAUCCCGAUACUUUUGCUGUUAUAAAGCUUUUGUCGAUUACGCCUUGAA